rnacentral:rRNA from 2 species
GGCGGCCGUAGCGCGGUGGUCCCACCUGACCCCAUGCCGAACUCAGAAGUGAAACGCCGUAGCGCCGAUGGUAGUGUGGGG